rnacentral:lncRNA from 1 species
UUUUCUUUUGGCUGUGUUUUAAAAGGGUCUUGGUCAAAUUUUAAAGGUUAGGGCAUUUUAGAGUCAGAUUUGUUUCAUAAUUUUUCUAUGUAACAUAUUCACUUCCCAUUAAAAUGUAAUUUUCUCUACCAAUAAGUUGUUAGGCUUCUGAUCCCUCAGGGAAACUGUAGUUGACAUGAGCAUUACCUCAUCCAAAUGUAUGUUCCCAGUGAACCUGUCAUCGAGUGGACUUGAUGCCUUAAUUUUUUCCUUUUGUAGCAAGAUGCCUAACUGGUUACUUAUGCAAGCAUUGUUAGUGAAAUUAGGGGGAGUAAGGGGAAUAAAAAAUGUAUGGAAAUUAUGAGUGUUAGAACUGAGCACAAUCAUUGCAGCAUCUGAUGCAGACAUUUCAGGGUAAGCCAAGUAGUCUCUUCAGAAUAAAAAUGAGGGUAAUUAGACUCAAUUCAUUUAUUCAACACUUAGGUCAAGUCCAUGAACUCUACAAAGACAACUGUGCCAUGGAUUUUGCUCUCUAGAGUGGUAAGACAUGUAUAUGGUUUGUCUACUCAUUCAACAAACACUUUCUGAGCAUGUUUUGUCUCCUGAGGUCAGCUCUGGAGAUACAAUGGUACAUGGCACAAAUCUUUGCAAGUGCUAAAUAUAAUAACUGAUAUUAAUAGGCUGUGAGUGAAGAGCACAAAAUGUGUAGUGGGUGUUCCUGGGAUACAGUAGCUCUGUGCAUGUAGAAGGGAUUAGUAAGGGCCUCGUGAAGGAGACAGCAUUUGCUCUGGGACUUGAAGGAAAGACAGGAUUGGAAAUGUAGAGAUGCUAAGGAAGGUUGUCCUCAAUAGAGAAAAUGCCAUAGCUGAAGGGCCCUCAUAUGCUAUUCUUAUCUAACUAUGUGAUUCUAAGCUCAGGUGAUCCAAAGAGGCUCCUCAGAGUUGUGGCAAACUGAAGCCAGUGGUGUAGGUUGAAAGGAAUCUGAGAGAAGAUCAACACCCAGGAGAAUCUAAGGUGCCAUUAUGGGUGAAUCAUUUUAGGCCAUGUUUCAGAACAAAAUUUCCACAGACUCACUACCAAAUACUCAGACUUAUAUUUUUGGUUCAGAGGUUUGACGAAAAACUCUGGAAGCCUAUUGCAGAGAACUGAAUAAGGUAAAAAUCUACCUUUUACUGGACACAUCGUUUAGGAAGCAAAUUAGUCUCCGUUAUCAGAAAGUUCCAAGGGGGAAUCUAAAAUGUGAUACUUUGCUCAGCAGCUGACAAUAUUUUUGCUACAUUUUCAACUUGCCUUCAAUUCUGUUUAUUUCACUUGUCUAAUUUACUAUCUAGAUAAUUUAAACAAUGAGAAUACAGUGACCUGCAAUUUUCCUAAUUUAAAGGUAUGUCUUGUGCAAUAUUAAAUUUGCAUCUACAUUGCCUGCCUAACAAGACUGUCACCUCCUUCAGGUCAAUGUGAUGUUAUCUAUUUUUUUAGAUAACAUCUAUGUCUCUAAUAGAUCUAUUUGUGCCAUAGAACCAUACAGUCCUUCUUAGAUAGGGGAAGCACAAAUGUUGGUUGAUAUUUAACAGAGUAUCAGACCUACAGCUUUCUCUCUAAGAGCUCAAACUUCAGAGAGUAGAUUCAGAGAGUAAAUAUUUUCCCAGGGUCAGGCAAGAGGGGUGGUUUGUAUAAUAUUUCUUUCUUAUUUUCCAGUUAGACUUUUGGAAAUCUGCCAGAUGCAAUUGAAAAACCCUGCUCAGCUUUGUCCAAUGUCUCAUUUGAGGAUCAGCAUGAGUUUGUUUACUUGAGAUUAAUAGGAGUCAAGGAUAUACAAAUUCAGCAAUGUAUGGAUAACUUUCCCCUUUUUAACGCUGGCCUCACACAAAACUACCACCAUAUUGUUGAAUUUUGGAAGUUUAUUAUGCUUUAUUUUUUCCUAUUAAAAAAAUAAAUGUCAUCACAUUGUAAUAGUUUUAUAGCCUGUUUUAUCAUAUUUUAAAAUACAUCUUGAAUAUUCUUCCAUAUAAUUAAUCUUCUACAGCAUAAUUUUAAUAUCUAUGAAGAUUCCAUUAUGUGCUUAUAUUAUACAUUUUUACUCUGAAUACAUUAUUGUUGUAAAGAAUGCUUACAAUUAUGAAAAUAAAUGUGUAUGGCUCAUUU